AUGGCUCCGCCGGCGUGGAUCAUCCUCGGCGCCGAGACGCGCGUGUCGGAGCACCAGGACGCGGACCUCUCCCUCGAGCUCGCCGCGCCGCCGCGCGUCUCCGUCCUCACCGUGCCCCGGCGCGUGUCCCCCGUCCAGGCCGACCCCACCAGCGGCGCCUGCCCCUGGGUGGUCACCGCGGACCCUGCCGCCGGCCUCCUCCUCCUCCGCGCCCCGCCACCCCCUCCCACUCACUCUCUAACUCCCCCGCCGACCCUCCGCAACGGCGUGCUGGUCCCCGCUGUCACCUACAUCACGCGCCACCCGCCGACCUACUUCGUCUGCGACGUCGCCUCCGCCACCGCCUUCCGCCUCCCGCAACCCGGCCGCGACCCUAGCGGGCUACCUCCGGAGAUCAACGCGCUGAACCUCGGCGUCGUCGCUGCCCCCGGAGCCGGAGGCGGCGCCCUGCGCUACAUGGUCGUCGAGUUCCGCUACAUGUUUGCAGACGAACACGCUACGCUCCUCUGCCUCUCGUCCGACACCGGCGAGUGGGUGUCGAAGCCGGUCCACAACCCCCUGGGGCGCUGGAUUUGGGGCAGAGACGGCGUCGUCGCCCACGACGGCAAGCUCUGGUGGGUGGAUCUCGCCGGGGGGCUCAUCUUCUGCAACCCCUUCGCGGAUGCGCCGGUGCUGGACAUCAUCCCGCUCCCAGAAAGCGACUGCCAUCUGCCUCGUGCCUCGUGCGCCCACUGCGCCGGGAGAUCGGUGGCCCACCGCCGGUUCGUGCAGGUGAGCGCUGGCAAGUUCCGUUGCGUGGAGUGGAACUCUCGCAGCAACGACGAGGCUCCCAUGACGGUCAGCAUGUGGACGCUGAGUGAUCCGGAGGCCAAGGAGUGGGUGCUGGAGUACAAGGUGAGCUUUCAGGAGAUCUGGGCCGACGACAGCUACAAGGCUGCCGGCCUGACGGAGAAGAACCCCACAUUCGCGCUCGUCCACCCCAUGAAUCCGGACGUGCUCUACUUCUUCCUGGAGGAGCACCUCUUCGGCGUGGACCUGCGCGCCAAGAGGGUUGUGGAGUGCGGCGUGUACGAGAUGGUGGUGCCACCGUCAGGGAAGCCCCCCAACUGUUUCUCCGUCCGCGCAUUGGAGCUGCCGAUCGCGCUUUCCCCAGUUGCUGUUUAUGCAGGUUUGCUUCCAUCUGAUGUUGGCAGCGGUUCCAACGGCGAGGAGUCUACCCCAUGGGCGUCAUCUGUUUCCUUGGGAGGAAGCGCUGAGUCUGCAGAUCGAGUUUGA
rnacentral:rRNA from 1 species